AUUGAACGCUGGCGGCAGGCUUAACACAUGCAAGUCGAGCGAGCGGCGGACGGGUGAGUAAUGUCUGGGAAACUGCCUGAUGGAGGGGAAUAACUACUGGAAACGGUAGCUAAUACCGCAUACCAUCAGAUCUGCCACGAUGGGAGUAGCUAGUAGGUGGGGUAAUGGCUCAACUAGGCGACGAUCCCUAGCUGGUCUGAGAGGCUGACCAGCCACACUGGAACUGUGACACGGUCCAGACUCCUACGGGAGGCAGAAGUGGGGAAUCUUGCACAAUGGGCGCAAUCCUGAUGCAGCCAUGCCGCGUGUGGGAAGAAGGCCUUCGGGUUGUAAAGCACUUUCAGCGAGGAGGCGUUACUCGAAGAAGAAGCACCGGCUAACUCCGUGCCAGCAGCCGCGGUAAUUC
rnacentral:rRNA from 1 species